UGUUCAAGACACUGUUCAAGUACUAUUCACAUGUGAAGAUAUCAAGUGGCAGACACUGUUCAAAAUUUAAAAAAUUACAAACCUGCCACUGGUAAUUUCUAUAUAAGGAGGCACCCAUUUAAGGCAAAUCCAUCUUCCAAAUUUGGGAUCUUCCAAAUUUAUCUUUCCAAUUCCAUUUCUCUCUCCGGCAUCCAAGAAACCGAGAGAAUCCAAAGAAAGUCUUGGAGGGAAGAUCACGCUGAGGCAAGCAAGGAGCAAGAAGGUCGAUUCAAUUCUCGUUCUGCUCUACUUCUACCUCACUUAUAAAACUUUGUAACUUCCUUGUAGUAGAUUUUAGGAAGCUCAUGUGCUAAGCAACCUUUGUACGUCUUACCUGGAAUUACAUCUCCAAAACCUCUG
rnacentral:misc_RNA from 1 species